CGUUCAAUUCCCGUUAAUUAUUCUUCUCCCUCAAGUGCAACUAAGGAUAACUCGAUUCUGGAAUCAUAAUGGUUCGUACAAAGAACCCAAGCUAUGUGGAAAAAUCGAAUCCCCCAGCAGAUCUCGAAGAAGAAGCAACUCGUGGAGAUGAAUCAGAACGUGAUUCCGAUAAAACGGACUCAAUUGAGAAGUCAAAUGAUAAGGAUUCAUCGGAAUCUGAGGAUGAAUCCGAUGUAAUGCAACCUUUGAGUAUGUACUUUGAUUACUCCCAGUAU